UACGAAGGGUGCGAGCGUUGUUCGGAAUUAUUGGGCGUAAAGCGCACGUAGGCGGCCUGGUAAGUCUCACUGUGAAAGUCCGGGGCUCAACCCCGGGAUGCCAGGGGAUACUGCGAGGCUUGAGACAAGUAGAGGUUGGUAGAAUUCCGGGUGUAGCGGUGGAAUGCGUAGAGAUCCGGAGGAAUACCAGAGGCGAAGGCGGCCAACUGGGCUUGUUCUGACGCUGAGGUGCGAAAGCGUGGGGAGCGAACAGG
rnacentral:rRNA from 1 species